UACGUAGGGUGCGAGCGUUAAUCGGAAUUACUGGGCGUAAAGCGUGCGCAGGCGGUUUGCUAAGACAGGUGUGAAAUCCCCGGGCUUAACCUGGGAACUGCAUUUGUGACUGCAUAGCUAGAGUACGGUAGAGGGGGAUGGAAUUCCGCGUGUAGGCAGUGAAAUGCGUAGAUAUGCGGAGGAACACCGAUGGCGAAGGCAAUCCCCUGACCUGUACUGACGCUCAUGCACGAAAGCGUGGGGAGCAACAGG
rnacentral:rRNA from 1 species